AGAGCAAAUCAUUUAGUUUACAAAAACUAAAUGAGCAAACUGAGGAAGGAGGAAACAUUCCUGCACAGCAGAGACAGAAACUGAUAAACAUCUUCCAGUGAACGGCUGCAGCAAGUUAAAACCUGUUCAGCAGGUUUUAAUUUUCGUUGGAAACGUUUGAGACAAACUAUUUGAACAACUUAAAGCCUCCAGGCUAAAAGAGACAAAGAUUAAAGAAGUUUAUGUUCAGCAGUGAAGGAGGAUCAGGUGAACACACCUCUGCUGUCAGGGGGCGGAGCCUCAGGUGGGUCCCAUUAAAGUUCUGGAGAAUCGGUCCGGUUCUCCAGUUCGCUCCCACUGGGUUUGUGUGAACAGAAGGAGAAGCAAAGAUCUGAUCAGAUAAAAGAUGGCGCAGCAGCAGGAAGUCCAGCAGGAAGUGGAUUUUGCUGUAGGUCCUACAGACAGAGAGCUGAUCGGGUCAGAACCCAGAGAACAGACACUAACAGUUCUGCAGAUGUUUGUGAGGAGAUGAGCCAGCAGACAUCAGAAGGUCAUGAAGGACUGAAGGAGAGAACAAUUCAAACCAGAUGUUACCUGCUGGAAUCUGGUUCCUCUGAUGAUGGGAACCAGCUUUCUGCUUCACAGGACAGUUACUGGGACUGGAUCACUGGAAUGACUGGGUCUGGUUUCUCUCUCCAGAAGUCCAGAAGACGGAAUAUCGGCAUCAAAAGAAGGAGAGAGCAGAACCUCCAGGAUCCAUCAGUCCAUCUAUGAGGAGUGACCGGUCCAAAGGAAACAACCCAAAGUUCAGUGAUGAACCUGGAUCCUCAGACAGAAAAGGGCAGAACCACAGAUGGAGAGCAGAACCUCCAGGACCCAUCAGUCCGUCUAUGAGGAGUGACCGGUCCAAACCAGAUCCUCCAGACUUCAGUAAUGAACCUGGAUCAUCAGAACCAGAGAGCAGCUUUAGUGAGGAGGAGCUUCCAUCCUGCUGUGCUUUGGGUCAGAAUGUUCUGAUGGAUCCGGGCUGGACCAGCUGCCCCCAGUGUGGGAAACGACCCAGAACAGGAUCUGGACCUGACAGCCAAUCAGAGCAGCCGUGCUCCAGAUAUUGUUGAUCUGUAUCAGCCUGACCUUAAAGCGUCUCUGAAGAUGAUGUUCCAAGUCUCUCUGAAGGCGUCGCUGAACAUGGAAAUAAAACUGAUCUGAACCAGAUCACACUGAGCUCUACAUCACAGAGUGGUCAACUAGAGAGGUCAACCAGGAACAUGAGGUCAGACAGAUUGAAACAGCAUCCAGGAAACAAGAAACAAUCAGAAGAGAAGACAUCUUUAAAGUCCCACCUGGAGGAGAUCAGCCAAUCAGAACAGUGAUGACCAUGGGCGUGGCUGGCAUUGGGAAAACACUGUUAACACAGAAGUUCACUCUG